rnacentral:rRNA from 1 species
GAUGAACGCUGGCGGCGUGCCUAAUACAUGCGAGUCGAGCGAACAGAUGAGGAGCUUGCUCCUCUGACGUUAGCGGCGGACGGGUGAGUAACACGUGGAUAACCUACCUAUAAGACUGGGAUAACUUCGGGAAACCGGAGCUAAUACCGGAUAAUAUAUUGAACCGCAUGGUUCAAUAGUGAAAGACGGUUUUGCUGUCACUUAUAGGUGGAUCCGCGCCGCAUUAGCUAGUUGGUAAGGUAACGGCUUACCAAGGCAACGAUGCGUAGCCGACCUGAGAGGGUGAUCGGCCACACUGGAACUGAGACACGGUCCAGACUCCUACGGGAGGCAGCAGUAGGGAAUCUUCCGCAAUGGGCGAAAGCCUGACGGAGCAACGCCGCGUGAGUGAUGAAGGUCUUCGGAUCGUAAAACUCUGUUAUUAGGGAAGAACAAAUGUGUAAGUAACUAUGCACGUCUUGACGGUACCUAAUCAGAAAGCCACGGCUAACUACGUG